GAAACUAGUGGCGAACGGCUGAGUAACGCGUAGGUGACCUACCCCUAGAUUGGGAAUAACCUCGGGAAACCGAAGCUAAUACCGAAUAACAUCUUAGAGUCGCAUGACUCAGAGAUCAAAACUCCGGUGUCUAGGGAUGGGCCUGCGUAGGAUUAGGUAGUUGGUGAGGUAACAGCUCACCAAGCCGACGAUCCUUAGCUGGUCUGAGAGGAUGAUCAGCCACACUGGCACUGAGACACGGCCCAGACUCC
rnacentral:rRNA from 1 species